GAUGAAGAACGCAGCGAAAUGCGAUACGUAAUGUGAAUUGCAAAUUCAGUGAAUCAUCGAGUCUUUGAACGCACAUUGCGCCCCCUGGUAUUCCGGGGGGCAUGCUUGUCCGAGCGUCAUUGCUGCCCUCAAGCACGGCUUGUGUGUUGGGCCCCGUCCUCCGAUCCCGGGGGACGGGCCCGAAAGGCAGCGGCGGCACCGCGUCCGGUCCUCGAGCGUAUGGGGCUUUGUCACCCGCUCUGUAGGCCCGGCCGGCGCUUGCCGAUCAACCCAAAUUUUUUAUCCAGGUUGACCUCGGAUCAGGUAGGGAUACCCGCUGAACUUAAGCAUAUCAAUAAGCGGAGGA
rnacentral:misc_RNA from 1 species